rnacentral:rRNA from 1 species
GACGAAUGCUGGCGGCGUGCUUAACACAUGCAAGUCGAACGGAAAGGCCCUGCUUGCCGGGUACUCGAGUGGCGAACGGGUGAGUAACACGUGGGUGAUCUGCCCUGCACUUCGGGAUAAGCCUGGGAAACUGGGUCUAAUACCGGAUAGGAGCCAUUUUUAGUGCGAUGGUUGGAAAGUUUUUUCGGUGUAGGAUGAGCUCGCGGCCUAUCAGCUUGUUGGUGGGGUAAUGGCCUACCAAGGCGGCGACGGGUAGCCGGCCUGAGAGGGUGGACGGCCACAUUGGGACUGAGAUACGGCCCAGACUCCUACGGGAGGCAGCAGUGGGGAAUAUUGCACAAUGGGCGCAAGCCUGAUGCAGCGACGCCGCGUGGGGGAUGACGGCCUUCGGGUUGUAAACUCCUUUCGCUAGGGACGAAGCUUUUGUGACGGUACCUAGAUAAGAAGCACCGGCUAACUACGUG